CCUCCAUUGCUCACACCUCUAAUAUAUGCAUCUCAUCUUUUGCAGUUUAAGUUGAAAAGCAGUUUGUGGCAACCUCCUAUUAAUGCGUGACAACAUCAACACCAGGAGGGAGUGUAUCCUGAGAUGCCUCAUCAUCUACCUCAAUGAAGAUCCAGACACCUUCUUCAAAGAAUAUCUGGCACCGGCGACCGAGGAUGCAGAAAGGGACCUAGCAACCACAGUCAUGGGGAUUUAUGUGAUCCGAA